UACGUAUGUCGCAAGCGUUAUCCGGAUUUAUUGGGCGUAAAGUGCCUCUAGGCGGAUUAGCAAGUCUGAUGUGAAAAUACUCGGCUUAACCCCGUAUUGCGUUGGAAACUGCUAAACUAGAGUACUGGAGAGGUAGGCGGAAUUACAAGUGUAGAGGUGAAAUUCGUAGAGAUUUGUAGGAAUGCCGAUGGGGAAGCCAGCCGACUGGACAGAUACUGACGCUAAAGUGCGAAAGCGUGGGGAGCAAACAGG
rnacentral:rRNA from 1 species